rnacentral:rRNA from 1 species
CCUACGGGUGGCAGCAGUAGGGAAUAUUGCGCAAUGGGGGAAACCCUGAAGCAGCAACGCCGCGUGAAGGAUGAAGGUUUUCGGAUUGUAAACUUCUUUUGUGAGAGAAGAGAAUGACGCGAUCUAACUUAUAAACACCGGCUAACUCCGUGCCAGCAGCCGCGGUAAUACGGAGGGUGCAAGCGUUACUCGGAUUUACUGGGCGUAAAGAGCGCGUGGGGGGGAUAGCAAGUCAGAUGUGAAAUCCUAUGGCUCAACCAUAGAACUGCAUUUGAAACUGUUAUUCUUGAGUAUGGGAGAGGUAGGUGGAAUUCUUGGUGUAGGGGUAAAAUGCGUAGAGAUAAAGAGGAAUACUAAUUGCGAAGGCG